GGCAGAGGGUGCAAACGUUGUUCGGAAUUACUGGGCGUAAAGGGCGCGUAGGCGGUUGGAUAAGUCAGCUGUGAAAACCACGGGCUUAACUCGUGGCCUGCAGUUGAGACUGUCUGGCUUGAGUGUGGGAGAGGAGAGUGGAAUUCCUGGUGUAGCGGUGAAAUGCGUAGAUAUCAGGAGGAACACCGGUGGCGAAGGCGGCUCUCUGGACCACAACUGACGCUGAGGCGCGAAAGCUAGGGGAGCAAACAGG
rnacentral:rRNA from 1 species